GACAAGUUACAGCCGCACACACUCGAACCCUCUCUGUCUUCUCUUCUGCAAUUCCGGUGACCGGAGACAGCUCCGGCCGCUGCUUUUCCGGCAGCUCAACCUCGCACACCACACCCCUAUCUCCUUACAUCACCUUCUUGUACCACCCAGCCCUUGUUUCUUCGAGUAGAUGGCCAGCCACCGCCAUGGCGGCGCACAUGGUGGCGACGAGACAGAGUGGCGGAGAGAGAGAGACAGAAAUCUGAGAGAGAGAGGGAGACAAUAAGAGAUAAAGAAGGGGGUGGCGCCGCCGCUGCGGCGACGGCGACGGAGCCGGUGACGGUGAUUCUCGACGGCAGCGGACCAAUGGCUCCGGUUGUGUUGAUGGUUGACGGCGACAGUGGUUGUGCACCGGCGACGACUGACAGGGAAGGUGGUUCAGUUCGGAUGUCCGUCGGGUGUUUUGGUUCAGCCUGGGUCACGAUACAGUUCAACAUCAGGGUCAGUCUGGGCUCGGGUUAUUUUGUGGUUAUCUCGACUCAGUUUUGGGUUCAACGUUGGUGCUCGGUUCAGUUUCGGGUCGCGCGGCUCGAGUUCUGGUCAUGUUAAUCAACAACAGGAUGGUUUCGGGUCAAGGUUGGAGUCGGUCAAUUGUAGUCAACGGCAGUCAAACGGUCAACUCAAUUCGGUCCCGGGUCAACACAGUCAAAAGUCGGUCAACAGAAGAUCGGUAACAAAUUUAAACGUUGCAUAUUAUAAACUAUGGAACGAUUGGAAAUGGAGAACCCAUGGGGAUUCGAGUACUUAGCAGGCGUUCAAUUUCUAAAAGUCUUAGAUCAAACACUUCCGCUGUACAUUGAAUAUACCAGUCCAGUCACGCCAGCUCUGAUAUUUCGGGGUGUGACAGAAAGACUAAUGUUACUUGUUAUGAAAGCAAAGUACCAACCGCCAUCAUAUGACUGUUUGUUUGGGCAAGGUUCCAAUUCUGCAACUGUGUUUUCUGAACAACAAUUCGCAGCUUUUGAAGCUCAACUCUGUUCAUCUCUAUGACCUUGCUGUUGUCAUUCGAAUUUAAGAAAAUCUCAUUGUUAACAUAAAACAAUCGAAAUGUUGAAGAGAUUGUGAAUGACUUAUACAUUGAUAUGUAAAAGAGAUAAGAGACGCAACAUUUGUUUGUAAAUAAAGCUUAUUUGAUGGUACAUGGAGUAAGGCCACACGUACGUGAAGCUUUCGCCUCUUGCUUCGUGUUUUAUUAAAACCAAGAUAACAACCCUGAGGUAAAAUUAGGGGUGUUACUAAUUGGACCUUAGACACAAAAAUAAUACAGUUUUGGGUUGGCCAUUCUAAACCAUUCAGAAUUUGAAUAAAAAUAAUUAAAAACUAUAACUUAUAAGUUCAACCCGCCAGCCCGUUUUCCAGUUUAUUACAACCCGCUAAAGAUCCAUUAUUCCAUUUACAAUAUGAUUACUAUUACAACAUACGUACUACUUGAUUACAACCCGUUUUGGCUUUUCCAUGUCGUUUAGAUAAACGGGUUACAUGGUUUUAUACAAGUUGACGUUGACAACUUUGCUAAGAAUAAAUACGCGUGUUGUGUUUAGGCUGGUCAAUUUCAACCCGUCAACCUACCAACAAGACAGGAUUGCCACCCCUAUACAUUAGAUUUCUAUUAUUUGUAA